AGAAUAAAUCCUGGCGACUGUCGCUACUUUUGGUCGUUGAUCCAGCGACAUGCAAACGAACAACUUUUGGUCGAUGUCGCUGGUUUCAGUCGCCAGCGACAUGCAAACGUAGAGGGCCUUAAACG
rnacentral:sRNA from 1 species